rnacentral:rRNA from 1 species
AAUUUUGGACAAUGGGGGAAACCUUGAUCCAGCCAUCCCGCGUUAAGGAUGAAGGCUUUCGGUUGUUAAAGUCCUUUUGCCGGGGAGGAAAAGUAAUCCCCAAUACCGGGUUCCUGCUAACGUAUUCUCAGGAUUAGCCCCCGCCUACUUACGUCCAAGCACCCGCGGUAAUCCGUAGGUUCCAGCCGUUAAUCGGAAUUACUGGGCGUAAAGCGUGUGUAAGCGGUUCGGAAAGAAAGAUGUGAAAUCCCAGGGCUCAACCUUGGAACUGCAUUUUUAACUGCCGAGCUAGAGUAUGUCAGAGGGGGGUAGAAUUCCACGUGUAGCAGUGAAAUGCGUAGAUAUGUGGAGGAAUACCGAUGGCGAAGGCAGCCCCCUGGGAUAAUACUGACGCUCAGACACGAAAGCGUGGGGAGCAAACAGG